AUUGAACGCUGGCGGCGUGCUUUACACAUGCAAGUCGAGCGGCAGCAUGACCUUCGGGUUGAUGGCGAGCGGCGAACGGGUGAGUAAUACAUCGAGACAUGCCUGAUAGUGGGGGAUAACUAAUCGAAAGAUUAGCUAAUACCGCAUAAUCUCUGAGGAGGAAUGCUGGGGACUCGCGAGGGCCUGGUGCUAAUAGAGUGGUCGAUGGUCGAUUAGUUAGUUGGUGAGGUAACUGCUUACCAAGGCGAUGAUCGAUAGCUGUUCUGAGAGGAAGAUCAGCCACACUGGAACUGAGAGACGGUCCAGACUCCUACGGGAGGCAGCAGUGGGGAAUUUUGGACAAUGGGGGCAAGCCUGAUCCAGCCAUGCCGCGUGUGUGAAGAGGGCCUUAUGGUUGUAAAGCACUUUAAGCGAGGAGGAGGCUACUUUAGUUAAUACCUAGAGAUAGUGGACGUUACUCGCAGAAUAAGCACCGGCUAACUCUGUGCCAGCAGCCGCCGUAACAC
rnacentral:rRNA from 1 species